UGAAAAUCAAGUCUUUAAUUUUCGUAUAUUUUUCUUGUGCGAUGUUUAUUAUAUUUAUUGUGGCAAUUGAGUCAUUCAAAGAUAAGAAACAAUUUGACGUAGCAAAAGAAUUCCAAAAUGAAAUUUUGUAUCAUUAUAAGAAACCCUGGACCUUUAUGCGUAGUUAUCCAAAAACAUCUAAGUAUGGUAAUGGAGUGAAGAAAGGUGAAGUUCCCUAUGGUGGAGUAGGCUCAAUAGAAAAGGAUGGUGAAGGAGGUGCACAAGUCGAAGAUGAACAGAGUAAAGUUGUAAAAGACUGAGGAAUUGAAUUAAAUCAAAAACGUGAUGGUGUAAUCGACGGGCUAGGGAUCAUAUCCAUGAAAAGUUUUGACUUUGUUUUACACCAUGUUUGAUU